rnacentral:rRNA from 1 species
GACGAACGCUGGCGGCGUGCUUAACACAUGCAAGUCGAACGAAGUGGCGAACGGGUGAGUAACGCGUCAUUAACCUGCCCUUCAGAGGGGGACAACAGUUGGAAACGACUGCUAAUACCGCAUACUGAAGGAGGGGAUUGCGUCUGAUUAGCUAGUUGGGGGGGUAACGGCCCAACAAGGCGAUGAUCAGUAGCCGGUCUGGGAGGAUGAACGGCCACAUGUGGACUGGGACACGGCCCAGACUCCUACGGGAGGGAGCAGUGGGGAAUCUUCCGAAAUGGACGAAAGUCGUACGGAGCAACGCCGCGUGGUUGAUGACUGCCUUCGGGUUGUAAAGCUCUGUUAAGCGGGACGCGGUACCGGAAUAGAAAGCCACGGCUAACUACGUGCCAGCAGCCGCGGUAAUUC